UUGGAGGGCAAGUCUGGUGCCAGCAGCCGCGGUAAUUCCAGCUCCAAUAGCGUAUAUUAAAGUUGUUGCAGUUAAAAAGCUCGUAGUUGAAUUUCGGGAUCAAUUUGUUGGUCGUGCCUCGGUACGUACUGGCAUUAUUGGUUUCUACCUUCUGAAGAACCUUGAUGUCAUUAAUUUGGUGUCUUGGGGAAUCAGGACUGUUACUUUGAAAAAAUUAGAGUGUUUAAAGCAGGCAUACGCUUGAAUACAUUAGCAUGGAAUAAUGAAAUAGGACGUUUGAUUCUAUUUUGUUGGUUUCUAGGAUCGACGUAAUGAUUAAUAGGGAUAGUUGGGGGCAUUAGUAUUCAAUUGUCAGAGGUGAAAUUCUUGGAUUUAUUGAAGACUAACUACUGCGAGAGCAUUUGCCAAGGAUGUUUUCAUUAAUCAAGAACGAAAGUUAGGGGAUCGAAGACGAUCAGAUACCGUCGUAGUCUUAACCAUAAACUAUGCCGACUAGGGAUCGGAUGAUGUUAAUUUUUUAAUGACUCAUUCGGCGCCUUACGGGAAAC
rnacentral:rRNA from 2 species